rnacentral:rRNA from 1 species
AGCUCCAAUAGCGUAUAUUAAAGUUGUUGCAGUUAAAAAGCUCGUAGUUGGAUUUCUGGUGGGAGCGAUAUGCCCGCGCCGCAAGGCGUGUGAGCUUGUUCGUCUCCGGCCAUCCUUGGGGAAAACGUGCCUGGCAUUAGGUUGUCGGGUUCGGGAUCCUCAUCGUUUACUGUGAAAAAAUUAGAGUGUUUAAAGCAGGCUUAUGCCGUUGAAUACAUUAGCAUGGAAUAAUAAGAUAGGACUUUGGUGGUCUAUUUUGUUGGUUUGCACACCAAGGUAAUGAUUAAUAGGGAUAGUUGGGGGUAUUCGUAUUCAAUUGUCAGAGGUGAAAUUCUUGGAUUUAUGGAAGACGAACUACUGCGAAAGCAUUUACCAAGGAUGUUUUCA